rnacentral:rRNA from 1 species
AAACGAGUGCCCCAAGCGUUAUCCGGAAUCACUGGGCGUAAAGGGUGCGUAGGCGGUCUUAUUAGUCUUUUGUUAAAGGCUCGGGCUCAACCCGAGAAACGCAAAGGAAACGGUAAGACUAGAGGAUGUGAGAGGUGUACGGAACUCACAGUGUAGGGGUGAAAUCCGUUGAUAUUGUGGGGAACACCAAAUGCGAAGGCAGUACACUGGCACAUUCCUGACGCUGAGGCACGAAAGCGUGGGUAGCGAAUGGGAUUAGAAACCCUAGUAGUCC